AUGUGCGAUAACAGGGGCAGCUAUCUCCACAGCUGCUAAUCUCCUCACAGGGAUAUUCUAAGUUGCCAUUGAGGACGUGUGUAGGUUGUCCUCUAUCUUUUUAUGAUCUAAGAUGCACACUGAGAUGUAAUUUCUUUAGAACAAAAACCUCUUUAAACUAUGAUCUCUUGGUUGCUUGAACUUUGGAUGCUUAGAACAAAAACCUCUUUAAACUAUGAUCUCUUGGUUGCUUGAACUUUGGAUUUGUCUUGAAGUAUUCUUUUGGUGUUUGGGUGUAGGCUAAUCGGAAUGCGUUAGUAACUUUUGAUUUGUUUUAAUGUCCAAGUUCUUCGACGAACAAUUAUUGGG
rnacentral:lncRNA from 1 species